GUGGGAAAAAGAUACACAUAGAAACAUUAGAAAGGCAGGAGUAACCACCUUAAUAUCAAAGAGUAGGCUUUAGAACAAGAACAUUAGCAAGGUCAGAGAGGUACAGUAUACAAUGGUUAAAGGGUCAAUCCACAGAGAAGACGGAAUCCUAAGUGCAUAUGUACCAAAGAACGGAGCUUCAGAAUAUGGAAAGCAAAACCCAAAGGAGCUGGAAGUAGAAUAGACAUCUUCAUAAUUAUAGUUGAAGACCUCGGCACUGUUUCUCAGCGAUUGAUAGAAAACUAGAUACACAAGGAGGUAGAACUCCACAUCACCAUCAACCCGGAGGAUCUGCUGGAUCACAGAUAUCAUAGAACAGUCCACCCAACAGCACCAGCUUGUGUGUCCUUUUUCAGGUGUCCGCAGAACAUAUAGCAAGAUAGAACAUAUCUUGGGCCAUAAAAUAAAUCUUGAGGCCCUAAGAAACCUAGUGAGACCCUGUCUUAAAACAAAAUAUUAAAGGGCUAGGGAUGUAGCUCAGUGAUAAAGUGCCCUUGGGUUUGAUUCCUAGUACCAAAAACCAAAAACUAAGCUGGGCGCAGUGGCACACACCUUUAUUCCCAGCAACUUGGG
rnacentral:lncRNA from 1 species